UUGACCUCAAAUCAGGUAGGACUACCCGCUGAACUUAAGCAUAUCAAUAAGCGGAGGAAAAGAAACUAACAAGGAUUCCCCUAGUAACUGCGAGUGAAGCGGGAAAAGCUCAAAUUUAAAAUCUGGUAGUCUUUGGCUGCCCGAGUUGUAAUCUAGAGAAGCAUUAUCUGCGCUGGACUGUGUAUAAGUGUCCUGGAAUAGACCAUCAUAGAGGGUGACAAUCCCGUCUUUGACACAGACUCCCAGUGCUUUGUGAUGUGCUCUCAAAGAGUCGAGUUGUUUGGGAAUGCAGCUCUAAAUGGGUGGUAAGUUCCAUCUAAAGCUAAAUAUU
rnacentral:rRNA from 1 species